UACAGAGGUCUCAAGCGUUGUUCGGAUUCAUUGGGCGUAAAGGGUGCGUAGGUGGCGCUGUAAGUCAGGUGUGAAAUUUCGGAGCUCAACUCCGAAACUGCAUUUGAUACUGCGGUGCUUGAGGACUGGAGAGGAGACUGGAAUUCACGGUGUAGCAGUGAAAUGCGUAGAUAUCGUGAGGAAGACCAGUGGCGAAGGCGGCUACCUGGACAAUUGCUGACGCUCAGGCACGAAAGCGUGGGAG
rnacentral:rRNA from 1 species